rnacentral:lncRNA from 1 species
CAAAGCGAUGAUUCCUAGUAGGACGAGGAUGGUGAAGACGGCGCCGCAGAUUGCGCGGAGAGCAUCUCCUCCACCUCCGCCGCCUCCUCCUUCGCUGUCUUUGGAGUAAGAUUCAGGCGUGGAAGAAGCGGAGGGAGCAUUCUUGUGGUCUGCUUUGGCUGCUUGCUCAGCUUUUGCUUCUCCUUCUCCCAUAUCUAUGUGUGUAUUAUGUGUAGGUAUGGUUAUAUACGACUACGAGAACCAGAGUGUUUAGUGUUUGGUAGUGAAGAGUGAAGAUAAGAAGCAAGAGAAGAAGUUUAAGUAGCUGCAGGCUUUUGUCUUUUUUGUUUUGUUUGUUGUUUAACUAACACUAAUCACACUUAUUAUAGAGUACAUUUUAUUAAUUGUUUAUUAACUUAGAAAGUUUGGCGUUGUAAUUAUGUGUUCCUAUUGCUUUUUAGAGGCUAUUUUUUUCGUAAAUCAGCAGUAAAUUUUGAUCUGGUUAGUAUAUACUCAUUCCGCUCCUGAAAAUCUAUAUUAUAGAGAAAAAUUUUGUUUUAAAAAUAAUAUAUAUUUUAUAUUUUUAAUGUAAUUUUGUCAAAUAAUAAUAAAAGAUGUGCAUGUCUGUUCUUGCUUUUCAUUUUUUCUUCUCUUUACGAUUUCUUUGCUAAAGAAAUAUGUUGGCUUUUUCGUUCUUUUGGAAAAGCAAUGGAAAAGAUAAAGUUAGAUAAAGCUUUUAUUUCUUUCAGGUAAAAACUAUAUGACGAAUUUCAUUUCUUCGAAAAUGAUGGACUUCCUUUUUCUCAGAAGAUAAUGUGAUGGCUUAUGUAUCCACUAAAGGAGAACGCAAUUUGUAUAUAAAUAUAACAUCACUAUCGGAAAAUCACAUAUUUUAAAGAAAAUUACAAAUCUUAAAACUUCUAUUUGCUUGGAAAUUGGAAUAUAAAGACUGAAGCAUGCUUGUAAUAGACAGGUAGUUGACAAAUCUAAGAGACAGGUGGUUACUUAUUCUGAAGUCAAAACGAAUUGAAAAUAAAAUGUAAACUAAUAAAUUAUAUGGUCUGAUGAGGUAUUAAUUGUCUUCUUUUCAAAUUAACUACUAAUCCUUGGAUACCAGAAAACCUGGUUAUAUAACUAUAUAUACAAACAAUAGAAGAUAAAAUGAGCAUUAAAUAGUUGAAAAUAAAAUAAAAUAAUAAGCAUUAUAUAAACACUUUUAAUACAUCUAUUUAAAACAUAAGGAAGAACAUUUGCUCUCCUCAACCAUGGAUGUCUUCUUGUUGCGAAGUCUUUGCUAUAGGCUCCUCACAGCAACAAUAUAAUACCUUCUUUCCAACAAUAACUUCUUUCCAGAGAUGACCCGAGUUUAAAAUAAUUAGCGACCCAAUAGAGAAUUCAGUACAUGUAAACAAAAGAAAACACACUCAAAUAAUUGUACUUUGGGCUUUCGUUAAAUUUAGACCCAACUUCAGUGUAAUAGCCCAUGACCUCAGAGGUGCCCUUCUACUUUUGUUAUGAAAAAACAGAGCAAUGAGGAUCAAAAAAUAUAUGUGAUGGCUUCUAAAUAUACAAAAGAUUUAAUUGAAGUAUGGUAUGGCCCAACAUUUUCGGACCGGUCAAAGCCUAACUCUUAAAAAGGGAGCUAUUAGGCGUUGCCCUUUAAUGUGUCGGAUGUCACUGAUGAUUUGCACUAAUAUACGUUAUGAAAUAAUCGAAAAUUUGAUUAAAAAAAAAAUAGUUUUGUAUUUUUUUUUUUUGGCAUUCUUUCAAAUUAGUAAAACAGUCGAUUUUGGGGUAACACAAAGAGUGUGAAUUUUAAAAUAUAAAUUUUGAAAUAUAAAUCGUAAAUCCCAAUUCUUUAAACUUAAAAACUGUAACAAGAAAUUCCAAAAGUACUCUAUUUUUUUUUAUUUUCAGUGUGUUAGCCUAUUAUAUAUAUAAUAUUAUUUUCUAAUUAUUCCUACAACUGUAUAUUAGGAGUUCUCGACUCAAAUUAAAAGGAAAACGAACCCAACAAGAGCACUGAAGAAAAGCUGAACCAAGAUGUUGAGCGUAAGUUUCGGUCUUGUUGUCCUAAUAAACAAAUAAACAACAUUUUUAAAAGAAUAAUUAGAAAAUAUUAAGAACAAACUCAAUGAGUUUCAUAUCCUUACCGUUCCCAGAAAAAUGCGAUUGGUGCCAAAAAUAAGGUAGAAAUAGCGAGCCGGUAUGUUGCUAUAACCAUAUGAUUAACACCACCAUCGAGUACCUUUUUGACCAGAGCAUUACCUAAGCCUAGCGCUGAGUUUAUCGUAAUCAUAAUAAUUACCGGCGUCCACUUACCAUCGCAAUAACCCAUAAUUAACCAACUGCAAAAUAAUUACUUAUAAAAUAUAAUCAAUAACUCUCUCUACUCUUUGUUUUCUUUUCUUACCUCGCUCUUCCUCUUUAAGUGGUUUUGAGUAUGCAUGAUUGAUUGAAGGAAGAAACCGGUAUAUAUAGAAAUUUUGUAACUGUUUUCGAAUAAUAUAAGAUUUUUUAAAAUAAUUAUUAUUAUGUUUCAUUAUCCAAAGAAAAAUAUAUUUAGUUCUCUUUAGCGCCCCCACUCAUUUGCGUGAAUGGAUAUUUGACAUUGACGCAGGCGAUGAUGCCUGCGAAUAUUUGUCGCUUAUUGUAAGUUUGUAACCAUGCAUGAUCGUACUUUGCCUGAGGGUCUUGGUUACAAUUUUUCUGCUAACACGUUCGAGCGGCGAGCGCACACUGACAAUACUUUUUUCGUCUUCAUUUAGAAAAGUCAGUUUGAUCCAAAACAGUAACCAUUUAUACCUAUUAAUUUUAUAUUCGAUCGUAGAAUCUCUUACCACGCAAAAAUAUACAUUAACUGAUUUACAGUAAUUAUCUUCAAACGACAUUUCGAAACGUCAUUACUGACCAAAAGAAGUUAAGCAAAAGACCAAAGAGACUCCGAACCGAGCUAUGUUUUUUCCUGAUUGUAUUUUGUCUUAAACUCUUAAACGUCACCCUUCUCUUUGUUUUCUUUACAGCGAUACUAUAACAAUGGUUGAAACAGCUUCAUUUAGUUACGUAAUAGUGGAUUGAUAAAGCUUAAGUUCGCAAUACUAUUUGUUAUUGUUAUUUUAGCCCAUUAAUUUGUCAUAAUAGAUCUAAAUAUGUCUGUUCUUGCUUUUCAUUUUUUCUUCUCUUUACGAUUUCUUUGCUAAAGAAAUAUGUUGGCUUUUUCGUUCUUUUGGAAAAGCAAUGGAAAAGAUAAAGUUAGAUAAAGCUUUUAUUUCUUUCAGGUAAAAACUAUAUGACGAAUUUCAUUUCUUCGAAAAUGAUGGACUUCCUUUUUCUCAGAAGAUAAUGUAAUGGCUUAUGUAUCCACUAAAGGAGAACGCAAUUUGUAUAUAAAUAUAACAUCACUAUCGGAAAAUCACAUAUUUUAAAGAAAAUUACAAAUCUUAAAACUUCUAUUUGCUUGGAAAUUGGAAUAUAAAUACUGAAGCAUGCUUGUAAUAGACAGGUAGUUGACAAAUCUAAGAGACAGGUGGUUACUUAUUCUGAAGUCAAAACGAAUUGAAAAUAAAAUGUAAACUAAUAAAUUAUAUGGUCUGAUGAGGUAUUAAUUGUCUUCUUUUCAAAUUAACUACUAAUCCUUGGAUACCAGAAAACCUGGUUAUAUAACUAUAUACAAACAAUAGAAGAUAAAAUGAGCAUUAAAUAGUUGAAAAUAAAAUAAAAUAAUAAGCAUUAUAUAAACACUUUUAAUACAUCUAUUUAAAACAUAAGGAAGAACAUUUGCUCUCCUCAACCAUGGAUGUCUUCUUGUUGCGAAGUCUUUGCUAUAGGCUCCUCACAGCAACAAUAUAAUACCUUCUUUCCAACAAUAACUUCUUUCCAGAGAUGACCCGAGUUUAAAAUAAUUAGCGACCCAAUACAGAAUUCAGUACAUGUAAGCAAAAGAAAACACACUCAAAUAAUUGUACUUUGGGCUUUCGUUAAAUUUAGACCCAACUUCAGUGUAAUAGCCCAUGACCUCAGAGGUGCCCUACUACUUUUGUUAUGAAAAAACAGAGCAAUGAGGAUCAAAAAAUAUAUGUGAUGGCUUCUAAAUAUACAAAAGAUUUAAUUGAAUUACUAGAUCUCGAUCGGUGCAACCGGAUGUUUAUUUUCAUUUAUUUUUAUAUAAAUAUUUUGUUUUCAAUUCUACAUUGGUGUAUAUUAGUAUAAUAUUAUGAGGUGUGUCUAUUACUUUUUAAAACAUAAUAAUUUUAUUGUAUAUUUUUUUUUAUUGAAUUGGUUGUUUCAAGAUUACAUAUUUUUGCUUGAAAUUUUUUGAUAAUUAUUUAGUUCCUAUAAUGUAACAGACAUUAUUUAGUUCUUAUAAUCUAGAAAGUUGAGUUAUUUAGAUAUAUAAUAAUGAUAAGAUUAGAAAUUAAAUGUAACAUGACUUUCUAGUAAUAGGUUUAUUAGGUCUAUUUUUAAAAAAAUCGUACAUAAGUCAAGAUUAUGACUUCUCUUUUAAUAUAUAAGAUGGUAUGGCCCAACAUUUUCGGACCGGUCAAAGCCUAACUCUUAAAAAGGGAGCUAUUAGGCGUUGCCCUUUAAUGUGUCGGAUGUCACUGAUGAUUUGCACUAAUAUACUGAAUAAUUUAUAUUCUUUUAAAUGCCUAUAUAGUUGAAUUUAUAAUUUAUUUUAUAUAAAAUACAACUAUCUAGUUAUUAGAGUUAAAGGCUUAAAGCUGGAUAAUAUGUUCAUUUAAUUCAUAAGAAAUUGCUAAAAUAAAAUUAGAUAUUAAUUUCAAAAUAUACUCAAUCAAAAUUACAUAAAAUUAUAUCUAUAGUUUAAUGAUUAUUGUUGGUUUAGUAUUUAAGAGAUGGUUGAAUCAUAAACUUCUAUAAAAAAAUUAAAAUUAUUAUUAUAACAUUUAUAAAUAAUCCAGAAAAUUUAAUUUGAUGUUUUGUUGUUCAAAAUUAAUUUAAUAUUUUAUCACAGAUUUUAAAGUAAUCAUGAAUAUAGUUAUUUUAAAGGUAAAAUCUAAAAAAGUGAUAUUAAACUUGUGAUAAAAUUAAAAAUUUCUUGUACAUUUAUUUUGUACUGGUUCGUUUUAUUAUUUAAUAUUUAAAUAGCCUACCUUUUAAUCAUUUAAUCAGCUAUAAUAUUUUUUUAUGGAAUAAAUCAUGCUCGUGCGAAAUAACUCAUAUAUAGAGUUUUGCCAAAAACAAAAAGAAGCGUCAUACAUAAUCGCAAAUGCAUAGUCAUAAACAUCAAUUUAAAUAUAUCCAUUAUAUAAGAUAAAUUAUAUAAUAUUAAAUAGCCUCUAUUUUAGAUUUUAAUUAAGUUCAAAUAUUUAUCACAACAAUAAAUCAUACCACAUAAUUUAAUAUUCAAAUGAGAACUUAAUUAUAAUGAUACAAACUUUCAAACUUGAUAAUUAUAAACAGAAAUAUUAACAAUUAUUCACUAUAGUAUACUCAAGGUCUUCGAAAUAUUCUCUUCGUUCCAAAAAAAAUCCAUGUUAUAGUUUUUUCACAUUUAUUAAGAAAACAUUUAAAAUUGUAUUUUUCAAUAUAUUGUUUUUCUUAAUCAACUAUUCUCAAUAACUUUUAACCAAUGAAAUUUUAUUAAACAUAAUUGUAUUUUUUGAAAAGUAUAAUUUUAAUCGAGAACUGAUUUCGGAUCAAAUCGGAGAAGAAGCCGGAGAAAGGACGGUGCUAUCAGAGCCGUUAAUGUUUUGAAAAUGUAAAAAAUGUAUCUUUUUGAAACAAAUUUUCUUUAAAAAAAUGGAUCUAUAAAAAACAGAGGGAGUAUAUUAUAAGUCAAACAAGAACAGAAAAUAUGGAUCGUGUUGCGAUGGAUAUUGCAUGAAGAGGCCAUAUGUCUUGACUCUUGAGACAACACAAUGAGCUGUUAUGUUGGGAUCCCCUGUUAUGUUAUCAGUUUAUGUCUACGAAACUAGUCAAUGCUUAGAUACACUACUACCUACAAUAAUCUGUAACUUAUUAUAUCCACAGAUCUAGCGAUAAAUAAAUAAAUAUCAUAGAUUAGAAUGUAUUCUAUAAUAUCUGAAUUUUUUUUUUGUCAAAUAAUAUCUGAAUUUAUUCUCAACAGAAGAUCAAAGCUUACAAAAUUACAUUUAACUUUUAAACUUAUCUUUUCAUUUUGUUUAACACAAAGGUUUACAAAAAAAUAUUACUACAAAAUAAAAUUAAAAACUAGACAUCAACUUUACAAGUCGAAGGAGCUAGAAGAGGAACUUGACCAUUAGAAGAUCGAUCAAAUCUCAUCCACACAUCACACGUGGCAUAAAAUCCAUACCGUCCGGUCUUAAUCGCACCAGCUUUCCAACGUAGCCUCCCUAAAACCACCACUCUCAUCAUGACCGCACCGUUCGCUUCAUCACUCUUCAGCCCGUUAGCCACUUCCGGCGAGACCGGUAUCCCGUCGCCGCCCAACACCGGAGCUAUCACCACCGUAGACUUAUGUCCCAUACGAAGCGGCGGAAGAGGAAGCGGCGGCGUUAUGAUCUGAUCCCUGUACGUGACGUACAUGGAGAGCUUGUCGUAGCGGAUGGAGACUCUCCGGUUCGGGUUACGGGCCAUGACUGAGAACUGAACGGAGGUUGAGAUCAACGGCGGCGUCGUGAAGUUGAGGUCGUAGAUGGCGGCUCCGACGACGGUGAGGCGUGGCUUGUGUGGACGGUAGACGAGCCAGAGGAUCAAAGCGAUGAUUCCUAGUAGGACGAGGAUGGUGAAGACGGCGCCGCAGAUUGCGCGGAGAGCAUCUCCUCCACCUCCGCCGCCUCCUCCUUCGCUGUCUUUGGAGUAAGAUUCAGGCGUGGAAGAAGCGGAGGGAGCAUUCUUGUGGUCUGCUUUGGCUGCUUGCUCAGCUUUUGCUUCUCCUUCUCCCAUAUCUAUGUGUGUAUUAUGUGUAGGUAUGGUUAUAUACGACUACGAGAACCAGAGUGUUUAGUGUUUGGUAGUGAAGAGUGAAGAUAAGAAGCAAGAGAAGAAGUUUAAGUAGCUGCAGGCUUUUGUCUUUUUUGUUUUGUUUGUUGUUUAACUAACACUAAUC